UGGACAGAGCAGGGGAGAAAAAUGGGGAAAAAUGGGGACAACUGUAACUGAACAAUAGUAAAAAAUAACUUUAAAAAUGGGUACAAUAACCUAUGAAGCAGUAUCAAGUAGCAUAACAGAUACGUUCAAAGGAGUCAAUAUUUCAAGGAAGAAGUAUUUGGAGAAAUACUGGCCAAAAUUUUUCACAGUGUGAUGAAAAAAUACCAACUUGUAUCCAACAAAGUCCAUGACAUCCUGUGUGGCUCAUUGCCUUUGAGUC